CCACGGUUGCAACCAACCAAAAGAACAUUGAACUCGAAAGUCAGGUCCAGUUGUUAAAUGAAAAACUUGCGUGUGAGGUUGCAGAACGAGAAAGAAUACUACAGGAAAAAAUGCAAGCACUGCAAGAAGAAGAAGAAAGAAAAAGACAAGUGCUUCGAGAAGAAAUGAGGCAAGAAAUGGUUGCUGCCCUUGCUGCUGUAGCACAACAGAGCAACCGUGAAAGCACCACUCCAAUCGAUCCUUCUUCCGUUGUCCCUACUAAACCUCCUGAACUCAUCCUAGCUGAUCCUCCUGCACCUGCACCAAGUAGUGCAAACAACGUUCGUACACCAGACACAAACAAUAAGAAAGACAAUAUGCCAGCAAACUAUAUUAGCUCUUACACUCUAAGGAAUGCUGUGACAAGACGUGUGCAGGCAAGGGGCAACAAAAGAAGCGAAUGUGUACAAUCCGCAAGUGCAAGCGAGAAGCAAGGUAGAUCAACUUAAGAAGCUCUAUCAAAGUGUGUUUAAGGUUUCUUGUCGUCGUGAUAUCGUCGUCAGCCUAGCUAACCAUCGCUUGCAUCAAUGGAGGGGAUGGAGGGGUACACGAUGGCAAAAAAACUUCCAAUAAUUUGCUAGUCCUGAGUAGUUUAUUAUCUAUGUUAUCACAAUCCAAGCUAGUACGAGGAUGCUGUGAUUGUGAGCUAUGUUAUCAAAUUAAUUUGUAUUUGGCCACUAUUUAUUUGGUGCAACCUAUUUGUUACAACUUAUGGUAUG